UCAGGCCUAACACAUGCAAGUCGAACGCAGUAGCAAUACUGAGUGGCAAACGGGUGAGUACAAUGUGGGAAUCUGCCUUUUGGUUCGGAAUAACACGGGGAAACUUGUGCUAAUACCGAAUAAGCCCUUACGGGGAAAGUUUUAAUGCCGAAAGAUGAGCCCGCACUUGAUUAGCUAGUUGGUAAGGUAAAGGCUUACCAAGGCUACGAUCAAUAGCUGUUCUUAGAGGAAGACCAGCCACAUUGGGACUGAGACACGGCCCAGACUCCUACGGGAGGCAGCAGUGGGGAAUCUUGCACAAUGGGGGAAACCCUGAUGCAGCGAUGCCGCGUGAGUGAAGAAGGCCCUUGGGUUGUAAAACUCUUUCGUCGGGGAAGAAAAUGACUGUACCCGAAUAAGAAGGUCCGGCUAACUUCGUGCCAGCAGCCGCGGUAAUACGAAGGGACCUAGCGUAGUUCGGAAUUACUGGGCUUAAAGAGCUCGUAGGUGGUUAAAAAAGUUGAUGGUGAAAUCCCAAGGCUUAACCUUGGAACUGCCAUCAAAACUUUUUAGCUAGAGUGUGAUAGAGGUAAGUGGAAUUUCUAGUGUAGAGGUGAAAUUCGUAGAUAUUAGAAAGAACACCAAAUGCGAAGGCAACUUACUGGGUCACUACUGACACUGAGGAGCGAAAGCAUGGGUAGCGAAGAGGAUUAGAUACCCU
rnacentral:rRNA from 1 species